GCUAUUCAAUUAACUCAUUUUCAGCUUUAAUAACCAGCAGGAAUCAAUGCUGAAAUCUGCAGGAAUCUACUCUAUUACUUCUCUUUUGGCAGCCAUUACAUCAUAGAACACUCCAUUCUAUAGUUUAAAACUCUUCUAAAUUAGUUAACACCCAAUCCAUCUAGUUACCUUCAUCUCCAAUCAGCGAGGAAUUUUGCUUUAAAGCUUUCUUUUCCACUCAACCUCAAAAUCUGCACUAUGCUGAAAUUUCUGCAUUAUGCGGAAAUUCUGCACUUUACUUCCUCUUUGUGCAGCCGCUACAAGCCUAGAACAAUUAGUUUUCUUGCUUAGAACUCUUAUAGAGUAACUAAUAUAACUCUAACCAGGGAUAAGCAUCAACUUACCUCAAUUCGCAGCUUCAACAAGCUGUCUUUCAGCUCCAACAGCAGGGUAUUUAUGCUGAAAUUCCGUUUAUGUUUGCUUCACAGCCCCUAUAUCACUUUAAGUAACUCUAGUACUUACAACCCCUUUAAUGUAAUUCUUAUCACUCAAACCAGGGAAGAGACAUUCAUUUAACUCCUCUGAAGCUCUCCUCUCAGGUCCUUCUCAAUUCGGCUCACCAAGAAACUCCAUCAAGUUCCCUUCUCCAAUUCGAGUGCCCAAAACUCCUCAAGGCAGCCGCUGAAACUCCAAUCAGCCCAAUUAAAGCUUCUCUAGUGCAAUUAACUCAACUCUAAUUAACAUUAGAUCACACUUACA
rnacentral:lncRNA from 1 species